ensembl:lncRNA
GGAAGUGUUUCAGCUGAAGCGUGAGGGGCGUUGUGCUGAGGAGCCGGGAUGGCACCCGGCAGUCUCUAGCAAGGUGCCUGCCUCUCAGACCACGGUGACUUCCAGCAGGGCUGGACGGGAAGGCAGUCACAAUCCCUGUGCUAACCAGGAUGUCUGGUCUCCAGAGGGCAGGCAGGAGGCUCAGGACUGGGAGGAAUCCCCUCUGAAAGCCGGAGGGAGGUGUUCUCGGGGACUUGGGACCUCUGAGCCUCCUCCCACAGAAACCACAGUCAGCGCCUGUUCCGGGGAGCUCCUGCAGUGGUUUAUCGGAGGUGGCUGUGCCCUCCCCUCUGCCGGGGAAGGGCCCGAUGGAGUGGCCUCGUGUAGGGGAGUGGGGUCAACAUGGGCCCCGGGCUCUCCAAGGCAGACUCAGCCCUGCAAGUGAGGAGAAGUAGGCUGCGGAACCGGGCUGUGCUGAAGGGCCCCGACUCUCCGACCCAAAGAGAAGCUCACGUGGGGGCCGAGGUGCAUGCAGCUGCCGCCCGGACGUCCGUCUGACCCACGUGGACGUCUGCAGAGUCCGUGAGCGCGGUAGAAAAUGAACCCAGAGGAGAACUGGUGAGAUCGCGUCCUCUCCGGACCCCGAUCGACAGAGGGAGAGAGUCAGACCCACAGAGCACCUGCCCGGCCGCUGAGUUCAGGUACCGGUCGUCCGCUCUCGAGGGGCUGAGGACAAGCGUCUCCUUUCCCUGUGCCCCAAAUUGCCACUGAGUCACCACCCCCAUCUCAGCUUCCUGGUGCUGCCAGGCUUCUGGGAGGCAGAUGAAAUCCUGUCAUACACCCUUUCCAAACAGACAC